UUUAAUAAAUAAUUAUAUUGUCUGCCCAAUGAAAAAAUUUAAUGGCCGCGUAUGUGCUAAGGUAGCAUAAUAAUUAGUUUUUUAAUUGUAAAAUAGAAUGAACGAUGACACCGAAGAUAAAAUUAAACCUUGAACCGUGAAUUUUUAUUAUUAGUGAAAAUACUAAUUUAAUCUAUUAAGACAAAAAGACCCUAUGAAGCUGAUAAAUAAUGAAAUUAUUAAUAUUAAAAUUUAAAUUUGUUUUUUGGGGUAAAAUAUAAUAACUAUAUUUUAAAAUAUUAGUAAAUAUUAGCCUUUGGGAAUAUUGAUAAAGCUCCUCUAGGGAUAACAGCAUUAUGCCUAUAAGAGUUCUUAUCAGAAUAGGCGU
rnacentral:rRNA from 1 species